UCCGGUUUGUCACCGGCAGUCUGGCGUGAGUCCCCAACUUAAUGCUGGCAACACGCCACGGGGGUUGCGCUCGUUGCGGGACUUAACCCAACGUCUCACGACACGAGCUGACGACAGCCAUGCAGCACCUGUAUCGCACCCUCGUAGGCCUCCCUAUCUCUAGGGCAUGCAGCGAUAUGUCAAACCCUGGUAAGGUUCUUCGCGUUGCGACGAAUUAAAGAACACGCUCCGCCGCUUGUGCGGGCCCCCGUCAAUUCCUUUGAGUUUUAGCCUUGCGGCCGUACUCCCCAGGCGGGGCACUUAAUGCGUUAGCUACGGCGCGGAAAACGUGGAAUGUCCCCCACACCUAGUGCCCAACGUUUACGGCAUGGACUAC
rnacentral:misc_RNA from 1 species